UAUUCUGCCCCAUGGGGAAGGAUGAGAAGCUUCGACCAAGGUUCGACUCGAGCGAAGCGAGAGAACGUUGCCGCAGGCAAUGGCCCGAAGGCGAGGCGCUUUAGCGCCGAGUAAUCCUUCCCCCACCACUG
rnacentral:sRNA from 2 species